CAUUAUGAAGCUAAUUCUAGCAUUAACCUUUUAAGUUAAAGAUUGGGACCUCAAAUCUCCCCAUAAUGA
rnacentral:tRNA from 1 species